GGAGGGGGCUAGCGUUAUUCGGAAUUAUUGGGCGUAAAGGGCGUGUAGGCGGCCUCGUAUGUCCCAUGUGAAAGCCCUCGGCUCAACCGGGGAACUGCAUGGGAAACUGCAAGGCUUGAGUCCGGGAGAGGAGAGUGGAAUUCCCAGUGUAGCGGUGAAAUGCGUAGAUAUUGGGAGGAACACCAGUGGCGAAGGCGGCUCUCUGGACCGGUACUGACGCUGAGACGCGAAAGCUAGGGGAGCAAACGGGAUUAGAUACCCCGGUAGUCCUAGCCGUAAACGAUGAGCACUUAGUGUGACGGGUAUCGACCCCUGCCGUGCCGAAGCUAACGCAUUAAGUGCUCCGCCUGGGGAGUACGGCCGCAAGGCUG
rnacentral:rRNA from 1 species